AAAGCCCUAGAGAUCUACCAU
rnacentral:miRNA from 1 species